UUACUUUGGGUAUACAUGCCUUAGUUGUGUCUUUGGUAUGCUGCGGCUUACCCGUACUUUGGGAAUAGUACGUCGGUCCUUAGUACGUGGAUUUGUGAUUUGAUACCAGUCAACCUGGUUGUCCCAUGCUUUGGGUAUAGUACGUCGGACCCUAGCAUGUGGAUUUGUGAUUUGAUACCAGUUAACCUGGUUUUCCCGUGUUUUGGGUAUAGUACGUCGGACCCUAACACGUGGAAUUGUGAUUUGUUACCAGUUAAUCUAAAAAUUCACUAAAAAGAGAAGUGUACUUAUGUUAUUUUGAUCAAAUAUCUAUCUAUGAUAUAUUUUGAAUAUGUGAAGGUGUUAGUAAAAAGAAAAUCAAGCAUUAUUUUGAAUAUGUGA
rnacentral:lncRNA from 1 species